UACGUAGGGGGCGAGCGUUGUCCGGAUUUAUUGGGCGUAAAGAGCUCGUAGGCGGUUCGGUAAGUCGAAUGUGAAAUCUCCACGCUCAACGUGGAGGGGUCAUUCGAGACUGCCGUGACUUGAGUACGGUAGGGGAGUGUGGAAUUCCCGGUGUAGCGGUGAAAUGCGCAGAGAUCGGGAGGAACACCCGUAGCGAAGGCGGCACUCUGGGCCGAUACUGACGCUGAGGAGCGAAAGCGUGGGGAGCAAACAGG
rnacentral:rRNA from 1 species